AUGCCAUGAUGAGGACACCUUUUGAGCAACUCUUUAAAUCUCUUUCAAGCCUCAUACAAACUCUUAUCUUCAAGUUGAUGAAAAAAAGUGAUCUCAUUCCACAAUUU
rfam:Citrus sinensis cultivar Ridge Pineapple sweet orange scaffold01901_contig_2, whole genome shotgun sequence.